ACCUGCUCAUGCAGGCUAGAGAAACUUCAGAGGAGUUUGUAAGUUGAAACACUCUUGUCACGCCCAGGAAUUUUUAUUAACUGGAGCUGCAAGUUAACUCCUUCUCCGAGAGAAAUGGUGAUGGGGAGAGCCCCCCGUAAAGUCAGAGGUGUAGGUGAGAGCAUAAAACAGACUCUGGUGUUGGGGGUAGAUGCUCGGGAACAGGGGGUUUCCUGAGGCUUGAUCUCGCCUUUGCGUAAUGCUGAGCCUCCUUCCUCAUGACUUUGCCAUGGGCGGAGUUCCUCAAGCUGGCUCCCGGCAGCCUAGCACAUUACAAGUGGUUUGAACUUCACAAUUGUAUAAAAAUUGAUGAUCUGAAUUUGACUGAGAUGCAUUCUAAGAUCCUUGGUUAUCUGAAGAUACGUUUUCAAUCAGCAAAAUGGAUUGACACUGUACUUAAGAAUUUUAAUAGCAAAGAUUGAAAUAAAUAGAUUCAAUCAUUUAAGAAAUGAUUAAACAUCUCUCAUUUCCUGCAACUAAGAAUAAUAAUGAAGAGUUGGACAGUCCUCACUUUCACAUGGCUUACAGUCCAGCUGCAUAAAUAUGGGCUUUUCUGUAAACCUAGUCUGUUGAUUAACUGUGUGACUACCAAUGAGUUUUAAUCUUUCACUCUUAGCUUCUUAAUUUAUAAAAUGAGGAUAAUAGCUAUAAUGCCUCCAUAGCAGCAGCUUUUUAGAGAGAGAGGUCUGAAAUACACAAUGAAUGUGGAAAACUUAGUGUAUAAAUUGGAUAGUGCAGUCAUUCUCUUAUGUGCUAAGAUUCCUCAUGCAGACUCUGGAAGUGGCUGAAACCACUUUGAGUUCCCACAUGUAGAGUUACCCAGCAGACAAAGAAAAUGCCUGGAUUCAGUAAAAUAAAAAUAUGAGGAUCAUCAGGACAGAGAAGCUAUUGGAAACAACAGGAUGAAAUGAAAUCAAUUUGUCUAAGAGAAGAGACAGAAAAAUAAGAGGAUCAGGUCAUGGGGUAUUCUAAUAUUUGGAUGUCAGUGGAGAGCUUCCAGAGGUAUUCAGAGUCUGUGAGGACACAUUUCCAUACAGUAAUAUAACCAUUAGAUACAGCCAUCACGUACUUUUUUCAUUAAGUGGCUUAGGUAUGGGAAAAGUUUCUGUGAAGUUCUUAAUUCACUUAGAAACUGAAGGUAAAAUUAUCUGAUAGAAUUUACUAUUUGGAAAGAAAUUAUCAUGUUGAGUCACCAGUGAGGAUUAUAAAAUAGCAUUAAUUCAUAUCACAAAACAAAAAACUGCAUUUUCAUAUAACAGGCAUGGUUUUUCUGAAACACCAGCCUAAUUAAUAUACAGAGGCUCCACUUAAACAUCUCUUGCUUGCCAGGAAGCCUCUAUACUAAGAUUUUUGCUAAAUUUAAACAACUGAAAAUAGUUUCUAAUGCAUAAUUAAAGUAUGAACCAGUGUAUUUUAAAUUUAUUUAAUUUUAACUGUUUUACUGAGGAAUAAUCUAUACAUGAUAAAUUUCAGGCUACAUAAAAAUUUUAUGUAUUUUAAUAUGUUCAUAUACCCACGAAAACAACACAUACUAAAGAUACUGAGAGUUGGACUGUGAAGAAGGCUGAACACUGAAGAAUUGAUGCUUUUGAACUGUGGUGUUGGAGAAGACUCUUGAGAGUCCCUUGGACUGCAAGGAGAUCCAACCAGUCCAUUCUGAAGGAGAUCAGCCCUGGGAUUUUCUUGGAGGGAAUGAUGCUAAAGCUGAAACUCUAGUACUUUAGCCACCUCAUGCGAAGAGUUGACUCAUUGGAGAAGACUCUGAUGCUGGGAGGGAUUGGGGGCAGUAGGAGAAGAGGACGACAGAGGAUGAGAUGGCUGGAUGGCAUCACGGACUCGAUGGGCGUGAGUCUGAGUGAACUCCGGGAGAUGGUGAUGGACAGGAAGGCCUGGUGUGCCGCGAUUCAUGGGGUCACAGAGAGUCGGAUAUGACUGAGCGACUGAACUGAACUGAACUGAACUGAAAGAUACUGACAUAUAUGUUCUUAGUUCAGGAUUGGAAGGAAAGUUAUGACCAACCUAGAUAGCAUAUUAAGAAGCAGAGACAUUACUUUGCCAACAAAGGUCCUGUAUGGAUGUGAGAGUUGGACUGUGAAGAAAGCUGAGCACUGAAGAAUUGAUGCUUUUGAGCUGUGGUGUUAGUGAAGACUCUUGAGAAUCCCUUGGACUGCAAGGAGAUCCAACUAUUCCAUUCUAAAAGAGAUCAGUCCUGGGUGUUCAUUGGAAGGACUGAUGCUAAAGCUGAAACUCUGAUACUUUGGCCACCUCAUGCACAGAGUUGCCUCCCUGGAAAAAGACCUUGUUGCUGGGAGGAAUUGGGGGUAGGAGGAGAAGGGGACGACAGAGGAUGAGAUGGCUGGAUCGCAUCACUGACUUGAUGGACAUGAGUUUGGGUGGACUCUGGGAAUUGGUGAUGGACAGGGCGGCCUGGCAUGCUGAGAUUCAUGGGGUCACAAGAGCUGGACACAACUGAGAGACUGAACUGAACUGAACUAGUUCAGGAUGCUGUAACAAAUUGCCAUAGACUGAGUGGUUUGUAAAUAACAGAAUUUUAUUUCUCAAAGUUCUGGAGGCUGGAAGUUCAAGAUGAGGGUGCCAGCAUGGUUGAGUUGGUGAGAGCCCUCUCCUGGGUUGCAGACUGACAACAUUUUGUAUCUUUUACACGGUGGAAAGAGAGCAAGAGAGUUCUCUGGGGUCUCUUUUAUCAGGGCAUACUUUUAUUCAUGAGGGCUCCCCUCUCAUGACCUAAUUACUUUCCAAAGGCCCACCUCCUAAACUAUCACACUGGCAGAUUAGGAUUUCACCAUAUGAAUUCUGAGGGCACACAGUCAGUCCAUAAUGUCCACCAUCCCCCAAAGUUUCCUCAUGCCCUUUUCUCAUCCUUACCUCCUGCCACUCUCUGUGUACUCUUCUUGCUGCCAACAAUUUAUAUACUUUCUGUCACUACAGACUAGUUUGAAUUUCCAAGAAUUUUAUAUAUAUAUAAUCGUACACGAUAUGCUCUUUCAUUCUUUUUUCUUGUUGCUUUCACUCAAAUUCAUUUCUGACAUUCACCCACGUUAUGGUUAUCAACAGUUCAUCCCUUUCUAUGUAUAGAAUAGUAUUCCACUGUAUGGUUUCACCACAAUCUAUUUAUUUACAUGUUGAAGAACAAGCAUUAAGGUUGUUUCCAGUUUGGGGAUAUUACAAAGUUGAUAUAAAAAAUUGUCAAGUCUUCUUAUGAACAUAGGCUGUUAUUUCUCCUGAUUAAAUACCUAAGAGAGGAAUCAUACAAUAGGGGUAUGCUGAAUUUUUCCAGAGACAGCCAAACUGUUUUCCAAAGUGACUAUACCAUUUGACAUUUCCAUCACUGUAUGAGCAUCAAAUUUUCUCCACAUUCACUCCAAAACUUGUGCUGAAUCUUUUAAAAUUUUAGUCAUUCUAAUAGAUCUGUUAUGGUAUCUUCCUAUGGUUAUAAUUUGCAUUUUUGUAAUGAGUAAUGAUAUUUUCAGUCUUUUCAUAUGCUUAUUUGCCAUCUUACAUUUUCUUUGGUGAAUUUUCUAUUAAUCUUUGGCUCAUUUUUAAAUGGAUUAUUUUUCUUAUCAUUGAGUUUUAAGAGUUUUGUAUAUAUGUGUAUAUAUAUACACAUAUAUUUUCCAGUGGCUCAGUGAUAAAGAAUCUGCCUGCAGUGCAGGAGCUACAGGAGACACAGGUUCAAUCCCUGGGUCAGGAAGAUCCCCUGGAGAAGGGCAUGGCAACCCACUCCAUUGUUCUUGCCUGGAGAAUGCCCUGUACAGAGGAGCCUGGUGGGCUACAGUCCAUGGGGUCGCAAAGAGUCAGACACGACUGAAGCAAUUUGGCAUGCAUGCAUGGAAUACAUGUUUUCCAGAGGGUAGAUUACUUGAUAUGAUAGGCUACCACAACAAAAUACCACAGACUGAUGGACUGAACAACAGAAAUGUAUUUUCUUCUUACAGUUCUGGAGGCUGAAAGUCCAAGAUCGAGGAGACAGCAGGGUUAUUUUCUCCUGAAGCCUCCUGUCUUGGCUUGCAGAUGGCUGCCUACUUUCUGCAUCCUCAAGGCCUUUUCUCUGUGCUUGCACAUCCCUGUCUCCUCCUAUUCUUAAGGACACCAGUCAUAUUGCAUUAGGCCCCACACUCAUGACCUCAUUUCACCUUAAUUAAUUUUUAAAAGCCCAAAAUCCAAAAAAGAGUCACAUUGGGGGAACAGGUGUUUGGGCUUCAAUAUAAGAAUUUUUAGGGGGCAUAAUUCAGCCCAUAACACUAGGCCUUUAUCAGAUAAAUGCUUUGCAAUUAUUUUCUUCAGCAUUUGCUUUUUCUUCAGAUUAUCUUAAUGGUGUCUUUCAGAAAAAAAGUUUGAAAAUUUGAAGAGGCCUAAUUUAUCAGUCUUUAAUUUUGUGAAUUUUGCUGUCAGUGGCAUAUCUAAGAAAUCUUUGCCUAACUUAAAGUCACAGGGAUUUUAUUCUAUCCUUUAUUCUAGAUGUUUUAGUCUAUUAUGUUAACUUUUGUAUAUGUUAUAAAAUAUAGAUAGACUUUUUUUUUUUUUUUUGCAUAUGGAUAGCCAGUUAUCCCAGCAGAGCAGCAUUUGUGGAAAAGAUGAUUUUUUCUUCAAUUAAUUGUCUUCAUCAUUGUUGUUAAAAAUCCAUAAUUUUGGUCUUCUGGAGUAUCUAUUCUAUCCCAUUUGUCAAAUUGAUUAUCUUUAUACUAAACUUUUUUGAAUACUGUAGCUUCACAUUAAGACUGAAAUCAGGUACUGCCGAUUUUCCAACUUUGCUUUCCAUUGUCAUAGUUGUUUAUUAUUUCCUAGAUUCUUGCACUUUCACAUACAUUUCAGAAUUAGCUCAUAAAUCUAUCAAUACAAAAUGUUUGCUGGGAUUUUGAUUCAGAUCACAUUUAAUCUACAGGUCAAUUUUAAGAGAUUUGGUGCUUUAAGAAUAUUAAGUGUUUUUCUCUGUGAACACCAUGGAACUCUUGAUUUAUCUAGGUCUUUAAUUCUCUCAACAAUGUUUUCUAGUUUUUUGUUUCAUUCCUGAUCUUAGAGGGGAAGUAUUCAGUCUUUCAUCAUCAAAUACAGGCAUAUCUUGUUUUGCUACGCUUCACUUCAUUGCAUUUUUUUUUUUUACAAGUUGAAGGUUUGUGUCAAGCAAGUCUAUAGGUGUAGUUUUUCCAACCACGUUUCUCACUUUGUAUCUUUGUAAUAUCAGUAAUUCUUACAAUUGCUAUAUCAUAUAAUGAUUUGUAAGCAGUAAUCUUUGAUAUUAUUGUAAUUGUUUGGGGGCAUUAUAAACUGUACCCAACUAAGAAUGGUGAACUUGACCCAUAAAUGUGUGUGUUUUAAUUACUGCAGUGACCAGUCAUUCCUCCAGCUCUGUCCCUCUGCUUGGGCCUCCCUGUUCUAAGACAACAAUACUGAAAUUAGGCCAAGUAAUCACCCUAUGAUGGCCUGAAAAAGAGUUCAAGUAAAAGGAAGAAUUACAUGUCCCUCACUUUAAAACAAAAGCUAGAAAUGAUUAAGCUUAUUAAGGAAGGCAUGCCCAAAAUCAACAUAAGUCAAAAGCUAGGCCUCUUGCACCAAACAGUUAGCCAAGGUGUGAAUCCAAACUGAAGGAAAUUAAAAGUGCUACUCCAGUGAACACACAAAUAAUAAGAAAUUGAAACAGCCUUACUGGUGAUACUGGAGAAAGUUUAAGUGGUCUGGAUAGGAGAUCAAACCACUCAUAACAUUCCCUUCCACCAAAGCCUAAUUCAGAGUAAGGCCUUAGCUCUCCUCAAUUCUAUGAAGGUUAGAGAGAUGAGGAAGUUACAGAAAAGUAUGAAGCUAGCAGAGAUUGUUCAUGAGCCUUAAGGAAAAAAAGCUGUCUUCACAACAUAAACUACAAGUGAAGCAGCAAGUGCUGAUAUAGAAACUGCCGCAAGUUAUUCAAAAGAUCUAGAUAAAAUAAUUAACAAAUGUAGCUACACUAAACAACAGAUUUUCAAUGUAGAUGAAAUAGCCUUAUGUUGGAAGAAGAUACCAUCCAGGAUGGUUACAGCUAGAGAGAAGUCAACACCUGACUUCAAAGCGUCAAAGGACAGACUGACUCUCUUGAUAGCUGAUGCAGCUGGUGACUUCCUUAUAUCCUUGAUCAUGCUAAUUUACUUUUUCUCUCUAGUUAAAAGGGGUCCCUCAUGGCUCAAACAGUAAAGAAUCUGUCUCCAAUGCUAGAGACCUGUGUUCAAUUCCUGGGUCUGGAAGAUCCCCUGGAGAAGGGAAUGGUAACCCACUCCAGUACUCUUGUCUGGAGAUCCCAUGGACAGAGGAGCCUGGAGGGCUAUAGUCCAUGGGACUGCAAAGAGUCAGACAUGACUAAGCAACUAACACUUUCAUUUAUCUGGUUAAAAGUUAAUCAAUUUCAUUGAUCUUCUCAAAAAAUCAUCUCUGAGGUUCAUUUGUUUUCUCUAUUGAUUUUCUGUUUCAAUUUUAUUGAUUUCCACUCUGAUCUUUAUUAUUUCCUUUUUCAUGCUACUUUGGAUCUUCUUUGAUCUUCUUUCUCUGGUUUAUUAAAACAGAAGCUGACAAUGAUUUAGGAACUUGCACACACAAAAAAUAUGGGCAUCCAGUGCCCCAAAUCUCCUGCUAAGUAGUGCUUUAGCAGCAUCUCACAUUUUGAUAUGUUGUAUUUUUAUUUUUAUUCAGUUAAAAAUAUUUUAUUUCUUCCUCUGGAGUCCUUCUUUGACCCAUUGUAUUUUGUUAGCAAUAUUACUUAGUCAUACAUGUUUGCAUGUUUGCCAGUGCUUCUUUUUUAAUUACUAAUUUUAUUAUGCUCAGAAAAUUUGUUUUGUGUGAGAGUUGAAUCCUUUUACAUUUAAUUGACACUUUUUUUAACCUAGUAUAUAGUUUUUCUUGGGAAACAUUCUAUGUAUGCUUAAAAUAAUGUAUCAUUUUUUGCUGUUUGAUGAAGUUUUCUGUAGAUGUCAAUUAGGUCAAUGCAGUUGAUAGUGUUAUUCACAUCUAUAUCAUUUACUGAGAGACGGAUACUCAAAAUAUACAGCUCUAAUAUUUGACUUUUAAAUGUUUGCUUGAUAGUAUGUAUAUUUUAGCCUUAACAUUUCUUAUAAUCUGGUGGGUUUGCUGGUAAUGAAUUCUUGAGCUAGUUAAUGUCUGUAAAAGUCUUUAUUUUUCUUUUGUUUUUAGAAGAUACUUCCACUAGUUAUAUGUCUAGUUUGAUUAAUUUUUUUGUAUUUUCUGAUUACUAAAGAAAGAUCUGUUGAUCUCCAGAGUUCUCUUUCUAUGCAACUUGAUCCUCCCUGUUACUCUGUCUUAUGAACUCUAAGAACUUGGUCUUCUGGGAUCCUUAAGCAAUUAUCCUCAAUAAGGCAGUCUACCAGGCUCUCCCAGGUUCCCUUUGUUGUGUCAUGGAUUAAAAACUUGAAACAAUAAGCCAAGGGCAGUAGAAGUGCUCACUUCAUCUGUUUCCCGUUUCUCAAGACUAGUCUUGUCUGAUGUCCAGGGUCUUUAAAAACAACAUUGCUUCUUGUAUCUUCUUUUUGUUGUGGUUGCUGCUGUUGAGGACUCAGUGGGAGACUAUAUCUGAUACUUGUUGCUCCAUCUUGUUAUUCCCUUCUCAGUCCCAAUACAUAUUUUUGAUCUUGUAUUUCUUCCCUAUUCUAUUCAUGUAGCAAGAUUUCACUACAUGCAUUUGUAACAUCAGUCAACCUUCUGACAUUCUGUCAAAAUAUUUCAGACUGAAUCCUGACUAACCAGAUAUUUGUCAAUGAAAUUCUAUCACCUAUGAAAGGAGGAAGUAUCUUCCAUUUUUUCAAAUUCAUUUACUUCUGCUAAGAACGUAUGAGUUAUUUGUGACAUUAUUGUUAUUCUUCUAGUAUAAGAUACAAUUAAAAAAGAAUACCAAUGUAAACGGAACACAUACAAAGAAGAAAAGGAUGACAAUGUCUUUGAAUAAGUAUUUGUAGUCAAACUUUAGAGUGCUGAAAAUUCUGUACCAUAGGAAAAAAAUGCAUUUAUCCCAAGACGACUGAUUCAUUUGUGUACGUGUGUGAACUCACUUAAACAUGAAUGAGGUGCGGGGGGAGGUUUCAUGUCCAUUAAUCAACUCUCUAAUCAGUUUCAAAGCAUGUAUCAUAUAUGUUAACUUUAGGAACAUAAAUCCUAAAUGUUAAGAACUUUAAUUAUUAAUAAUAUAUUAGACUUUAACACCUUUACAUUGAAUACAAAUUCAGUGAGAGCCUAUUCUUGGCAGCUAUCUUAACAUUGGAUUUUUCUUCAGAAAUUUUUGUCAAAAACAGAGCAGACUGUACAUUAAUCAACACACAAAACAAAGUCUGCCUGGGAUAUAACAUAUGCCAUAUUACUUCCAGGACUAAUACCUGGGAGAAGCCCAAGAUAAACCUGUAAUUUCCCCCUUUAGUGUCACUACUAUGAACACAGAAAGUAGUAAGAGAAGGACAGUGGAAUUGUUUAACACUGUGUUUGAGGACAUCUGCCUCUCAUAUUUUGUCUUUUCAGAAACAGAUAUACUAAAAAUGUCCUAUGUUGGGAAAUGAAAAAAUGCUAUAAAGAAAGCUCAGGAGUGACCUCUGUUCUUUCUUCUAUUUCUUUUCUGAAGUCUCCUACUGUUAGUAAUCACUUUAACAACUCUGACCUUGUGUAGUAAUUAAAUCCAUCUCUUUUCUCCAUGACACAAUACUAACUAAAGUUGUCCUAUUCACAACUUUCAAGGUGUAACCCAUUCAUGACUCACACACUAUACACUAUUAAAAAAUAGUACAAUAGCAGCUACAUCAGAUAGCUCCAUUUUCAACAUCCUUUUGAAACAGAAAAAUAAAAAGGCAAUUCUAAAUGGACUAAAAGUGGAAAUAAGGCUCAAACUGGAGAGUUCUUUUCCCAGAUAAAACUCUACACUUAAGUUCCAAAUUCCUAUUUUUCCAGUGUUCAGUUGAAAUGGAAAAAGCAGGAAAGUGCAAGCCUCAAUUUAAAGUUUUUAAAAUGUAACUUAAAAAGUGCAAGCCUCAAUUUCAAUUUUGAGAUAUCAGUUCCAAGAACAAAAUUAUAAUGUUAAAAUUUUUACAUUGAAAAUACACAUUGACCACACUAAUGAGUCACUGUUCACCACAUAGACAAGGAAAACCAAACUGAAAUAACCAAUAAGGGUUUGUCCAAUUUUCUGAUGAACUCUGUCUCAACUACUAAUAUCAGAGGACUCCCUGUGAAAUGGACAAUGGACACUCUCAAGACACCUGGAAAGUUGGGAAACCCAAGUUCCCACUACCAGUUAGAAUGUAGAAGGAUAUGAAACACCUUUACUCCCACUGAAAAAAUAAGAAAUUACUUCACAAAUAUACAUAUUCAGAAAGAUAGACAGAUACAGAUAUAAUAUAAAGCUUGAAAUAUUAUCUGUAUUGUCGUAUGUCAACUGGCAAUUUUGUGAUUAUCACAGUAAAGAAGAAACUAAAAGCAUAUGAAAAUGGGGAACAUAUCCACACUCCUAAGUCUGUGUGGGUGCAUGUACAAAAAAUGCGGUGGGGUCUCUUGAAAGGAAGCUUAUGGAAUGGGGUCCCUCAAGUUUCUCUUGGGUGUUCCUGUGUGGGAAAUCACCGCUUCUAGCUGACUGGACUCUCCAGCAGAAGUUAGUGAUUCUGCUUUGGCAAAGUUACAUUAAUUAGUAGAAAUCAUUUAGUUUUAUUAUAUACUUCAAUGUAAAGGCAAACAUUUUAUUCCAAAUAUACAUAUUUUCUUUAAAGAAAUGUGAACACAAAGAAAUGCAGGACCUAAAAACACUAAACUCAGAGGAGUGAGACAUUGUGCAUUUACAAGGGAACAGAUGGAGGACACUUCUAUCCUCAAGACCCAUGGCUGAAGCUGUGUUAGGAGGAGAGGACAGGAGAGACACAUUUUUGGUAAAAUGAAAAUCUUGGCUUAGAUGAGGAGAAGCCAGGCAAAUCUUCUGACAAACCUGUGGGUUAGUGUGUCAGGCUUCAAUCUCAAAAAAGCUCAAACCCAAAGACAAGUUUCUCUGCUCAUUGCUGUUGCUGUUGUUCAGUCGCUAAAGUCUAACUCUUUAUGACCCCAUGGAUUGCAGCAUGCCAGGCUUCCCUGUCCUUCACCAUCUCCCGGAGUUUGCUCAAACUCACGUCCCUUGAGUCAGUGAUAUCAUCCAACCGUCUCAGCCACUGUUGCCCCCUUCUCCUCCUGCCUUCAAUCUUUCCCAGCAUCACGGUCUUUUUCAAUGAGUUGGUUCUUUGCAUCAGGUGGCCAAAGUAUUGCAGCUAGAAAUUUUGCUGCAUAAUCAGAGGCUGGGAAUGGCUGGAAAGCCAAAAUAUCUAUCUGGUUUCAAAGUAUCACAAUUUUGAUGCCCUUAAUCUCAGCGACUCUUGUCACAUCUUCCCACUGUCCCUGAGACUCAUAGUCCUCAGUUCCUCAAUUUCAGGCCCCAUUGUAUGCAGUCUUAUAACAUCAAGACCUCAAAGUUUCACAGCCUCUUGGUCUUGAAAUUGCACUGUUUGCAACAUGGAAAUAUGUCCAUAAAAUACCACUACACCAUGGGAACCACUCCUAAAACUGUAAAAUCUCUCAAGACUGCAUAGCAAUCUUAAUAGACUUAAGACUACUCAUAUUUUCUAUUUCUUAAAAGCAUUUGCACAGGAAAGAAAACCACUGAUAAAACAAAAAGACAAUCUAUUUAGUGGAAAAAUAUUUGCAAAUGUUACGAUUGAUAAGAGGUUAAUAUCCAAAAUAUAUGAACAACACAUUCAACUUAAUUUCAAAAAACAAUCUGAUUACAAAAUGAGUUGAAGACCUGAAUAGAUAUCUUUCGAACAAAGAUGUACAGAUAGCUAAUAAGCAUUUGAAAAGAUGCUCAGUGUCGAUAAUCAUGCCAGCGUUUCCACUCCUGGGUAUUUUUCUAACAAAAACAGUAAUUAAAAAAGAUACACACACCACAAUGUUUAUUUCAGCAUUAUUUACAACAGUCAAUAGAUGGAAGCAACCUAUGUACCCAUCACUGGAUGAACAGGUGAAGGCAGUGUGGUAUAUGUGCAAUGGAAUACCACUCAGACAUAAAAGGAAUGAAAUUUUGCCAUUUGCAGCACACGGAUGGGCCUGGAAUGUAUUAUGCUUAGUGAAAUAAGUGAGAUAGAGAAAGACAAGUACUUUAAGUUAUCACUUAAAUGUGGAAUCUGCAUUCAAAUGAGUAUAUCUUUCCUUUUCUCCUAUGCCUUUUGAGGCUCUUCUUUUCUCAGCUAUUUGUAAGGCCUCCUCAGACAACCAUUUUGCCUGUUUGCAUUACUGUUUCUUGUGGAUGGUCUUGAUCACUGCCUCCUGUACAAUGUCACAAAACCUCUGUCCAUAGUCCUUCAGGAGCUCUGUCUAUCAGAUCUAAUUCAAUUUCUCACUUCCACUGUAUAAUCAUAAGGGAUAUGAUUAAGGUCAUACCUGAAUGGUCUAGUGGUUUUCCCUACUUUCUUCAAUUUAAGUCUGAAUUUGGCAAUAAAGAACUCCUGAUAUGAGCCACAGUCAGCUCCCGGUCUUGUUUUUGCUGACUGAUGAGCUUCUCCAUCUUCAGCUACAAAGAAUAUAAUCAAUCUGAUUUCGGUGUUGACCAUCUGGUGAAUCCAUGUGUAGAGUCUUCUCUUGUGUUGUUGGAAGAGGGUGUUUGCUAUGACCAGUGCGCUCUCUUGGCAAAACUCUGUUAGCCUUUGAGAAAAUUAGAGAUACCAAGGGAACAUUUCAUGCAAAGAUGGGCACAAUAAAGGAGAGAAACAGUAUGGACCUAGCAGAAGCAGAUGAUAUUAGGAAGAGGUGGCAAGAAUACACAGAAGAACUAUAUAAAAAGGAUAUUCAUGACCUGGAUAACCACGAUGGUGUGAUCACUCACCUAGAGCCAGACAUCCCGGAAUGCUGUCAAGUGGGUCUUAGGAAGCAUCGCUACAAACAAAGCUAGUGUAAGUGAUGGCAUUCCAGUUGAGCUAUUUCAAAUUCUAAAAGAUGAUGCUGUGAAAGUGCUGCCCUCAAUAUGCCAGCAAAUUUGGAAAACUUAGCAGUGGCCACAGAACUGGAAAAGGUCAGUUUUCACUUCAGGCCCAAAGAAGGGCAAUGCCAAAGAAUGCUCAACUACUGCACAAUUGCUCUCAUCUCACACACUAGCAAAGUAAUCCUUAAAAUUCUUCAAGCCAGGCUUCAAUAGUACAUGAACCGUGAACUUCCAGAUGGACAACCUGGAUUUAGAAAAGGCAGAGGAACCAGAGAUCAAAUUGCCAACAUCCAUUGGAUCAUUGAAAAAGCAAGAGAGUUCCAGGAAAACAUUUACUUUUGCUUUAUUGACUAUGCCAAAGCCUUUGACUGUGCAGAUCACAACAAACUGUGGAAAAUUCUUCAAGAGAUGGGAAUACAAGACCACCUGACCUGUCUCCUGAGAAAUCUGUAUGCAGGUCAAGAAGCAACAGCUAGAACUGGACACAACAGCAGACUGGUUCCAAAUUGGAAAAAGAGUAUGUCAAGGCUGUAGAUUGUCACCCUGCUUAUUUAACUUAUAUGCAGAAUACAUCAUGCAAAAUGCCAGGCUGGUUGAAGCACAAGCUGGAAUCAAUAUUGCUGGGUGAAAUAUCAAUAAUCUCAGAAAUUUAGAUGACUCCACCCUUAUGGCAGAAAGCAAAGAACUAAAGAGCCCCUUGAUGAAAGUGAAAGAGAGUGAAAAAGUUGGUUUAAAACUCUACAUUCUGAAGACUAAGAUCCAUGGCAUUCAGUCCCAUCACUUCAUGGCAAAUAGAUGAGGAAACAAUGGAAACAGUGAAAGACUUUAUUUUCUUGGGCUCCAAAAUCACUGCAGAUGGUGAUUGCAGCCAUGAAAUUAAAAGGCGCUUGCUCCUUGGAAGGAAAGUGAUGACCAAUCUAGACAGCAUAUUAAAAAGCAGAGACAUUACUUUGCCAACAAAGGUCUGUAUAGUAAAAACUAUGGUUUUUCCAGUAGUCACGUAUAGAUGUGAGAAUUGGACUAUAAAGAGAGCUGAGUGCUGAAGAAUCGAUGCUUUUGAACUGUAGUGUUGAAGGAGACUCUUGAGAGUCCCUUGGACUGCAAGGAGAUCUAACCAGUCCAUCCUAAAGGAAAUCAGUCCUUAAUAGUCAUUGGAAGGACUGAUGUUGAAGCUGAAACUCCAAUACUUUGGCCAGCUGAUGCAAAGAACUGACUCAUUUGAAAAGACCCUGGUGCUAGCAAAGAAUGAAGGUGGGAGGAGAAGGGGAUGUCAGAGGAUGAGAUGGUUAGAUGACAUCACUGACUCGAUGCACAUGAGUCUGAGUAAGUUCCAGGAGUUGGUGACGGACAGGGAAGCCUGGUGUGCUGCAGUCCAUGAGGUUGCAAAGAGUCAGACACGAAUGAGUGACCAAACUGAACUGAUAAAAAAUAAAUAAUUGCAUAUAAAAAACAGAAACAAACUAGUAGUUAUCCAUCGGGAGAGGAAAAUGGAGAGUGACAAGAUAUGGAUAAGAAUUUAAGAUGUAGAAACAAAUAAGAAUAAAGCAAGCUACAAGGUUAUAUUGUACAGCACAAGGAAGAUAGUCAAUAUUUUAUAAUAAUCUUAAAAAGAUAAUAAUCUUUAAAAAUUUUGAAGAUCAUUAUGUUACAUAUCUGCAACUAAUACUUUAAGUCAACUACACUUUCUCAGAAUCUCAGUCUCAUAGACUCCUAAGUCUCGCAGGUCCAUGAUCUAGCAAACUUAAGGUUAUGAAAUUCUGAGGUCUAGCAGUAUCAGAGUCCUCUGAAUUCACUCUCAAAAUGUGUCACUCUCAAAUGGUUACUGUUGUAACCAAAUCCUGAUACAAUUAAAUUUUAGUAACAAAUCCCCUUGGCAGUAUAAAAACUUGAGGACUGGACUGAAAAACAAAGUCUUGGACACCUGUUACUUAAAUUCAAGCAUAAUUAACACAAUGGCAGGAAUAUCAAUGAAACUGAAUACAAUUAAACAGAAUUCAAAAUUCUUGUAUGAAAGAAAAAAAGAUCGUGAAAUAAUGAGCUUAAGAUUCAAAAAGAUUUCUUACAGAGGUCACAAAACACAUUAAUCAUUAAAAAUUUUUUUAAACUUAAGCUUCUCAAAAUAUGCUGUGAAGGAACUGAGAAGUCAGUUUACAAAAUGACAGAAAAUAUUUGUAAACAUUUUUCUGACAAAGCACUCCUAUUCAAAUAUAUUCAGAUAUUUAUAUUAAGAAAAACAGCCCAAUAAAAUGUGCAAAAGACAAAAGUAGAUACAUGAAUGGCCAGUAAGUACAUCAUAAGAUAUUCAACGUAAGUGAUCAGUAAAAUAAAAUCAAAACAAUAAUAUGACACACUCUACAGCCAUUAAAACUGAUAAAAUGAAAUGCUGACAAGGAUUUAGAGUAAAUGAAAUUCUCACACAUUGAUGAUAGAAGUUAAAUGGUUCAGCCACUUUGGAAACUUUAAAUUUCAUAAAGUUAUGCACACACACACACACACACACACACAUAUAUAUAUGUACACACACCUACUCAAUGACACAGCAUUUCUAUUCCUAGAUAUUUACUCAAGAAAAGUGAAAAAAUGUGGCUAUAAGAAGACUUUCCUGGUGACUGAGAUGAUAAAGAAUCUGCCUGUAAUGCAGGAGGACCCAGGUUCAAUUCCUGGGUCAGGAAGAUCCCCUGGAGAAGGAAGUGGCAACCCACUCCAGUAUUCUUGGCUCAAAAAUCUCAAGGACAGAGGAGAGACAAAUUGUGAGAUUAGGACUGACAUAUACACACUACUAUAUGGGAUGACAAAUAGAUAACUAAUUAGAACUUACUGUGUAACACAGGGCUCUACUCAAUACUCUGUAAGGACAUAUAUGGAAAAAAAUCUAAAAAAGAAAUGGAUAUAUGUAUAUGUACAACUGAUUCACUUUACUGUACACCAGAAACCAAUACAACAUAGUAUUAUAAAUCAACUAUAUACCAACAAAACUUAUCAAGAAAAAUAAUAAGACACACACAGAGAAUUUUCCUUUGCCAAACACACAAUUCACAACAAAUAGGUGUUUUUUGUUUCCUUUGUGGACUAUCCUUUACAUAUAGGUAGGUAGGUAAUCCUUAUGUUAAGUAGUUUAUAUCCUGCAACCUUUAUUUCACGAACUCAGUUACUGUCAGCAGAAACAGUCCAAACAUAUUUCUACUUUCUUGAUAUCAUAACACUUUGGCAUCCACAGGUAGGUUGGCCAGCACUCCUGCAUUACUGUACUGCCAAGGUUUCUUUCAAAACCAGACAAUAAAGAUAAAUCAACAGAUAACAUCUCUGAGGAAAGAAACUGCCAGCAGAAGAUUAACUCUUACUCUGCUGUCUCUUAUUCUGUAGCAAAGUGACCAAAAAUAGCGUUGCAUCAGUCUUGUUCCCUCUGUCUCCAGUCUCCAAUCCAUUCUUCCCGAAAGCAGAGAGGUAGUGUUGUCUUCCAAGUCCUACAAAGUUUUAAAAAGACUUUGUCUGUUCCUUACAUUAAGAUACCUGAAAACAUUUGAAUUUUAUUUUAUUUUUUAAUUUUUUUCAGACAGCCAAGAAAAGAAGAUUUGCCAUUUAUUAAGUUUCAACAAAGCAUUGUACUUUUGAAAGCAACUUUCAGUGCACUUUCUUCAAUAAUCACAUUCUAUGAGGAAAAACAUUAUAAGCCACAAACUUGUCUUUUAAUCUCAGAGGUGCAGAUGUCUUUAAUUAAAAAUAAAACGUCAAAAAACAAAACAAAGCAAAAAACAAACAAAACCCUAACAAACCCCACCCCAAUAAGAGCUUCUAGUCUACAUUCUCUAAAUUGAAGAUUCUGAAUUUUUAAUGCAUUUGCCUAACUUUCCCAUCUUGUACAUCAGGCUUAAACUGGUAUGUUGAACACAUAGAUAUUCACAGCAUCUUAUAUUUUCUUACAUACAUUAAAAAAUCUUAUAAACAUAAUACAUUCCCUUGUUUAAAAAUAACAUAUAGAAGAAUUUAGAGUUAAAAGCAGCAGUUCCUUGCCCAUCUUUUCCUACAGUUAUUCUGUUUCCCAGAGGCAAAUUUUUUCUUCUCUUUUGUGU
ensembl:lncRNA